GACGAACGCUGGCGGCGUGCCUAAUACAUGCAAGUCGAACGCAGUGGGGACGGGUGAGUAACAAGUGGGUAACCUACCAUCAAAGGGGAUAACACUUGGAAACAGGUGCUAAACCGAUACAGGUGGAUGAACCCGCUGUGCAUUAGCCAGUUGGUGAGGUAACGGCUCACCAAGGAGACGAUGCAGAGCCGACCUGAGAGGGCGAUCGGCCACACUGGGACUGAGACACUGUCCAGACUCCUACGGGAGGCAGCAGUAGGGAAUCUUCGGCAAUGGACGAAAGUCUGACCGAGCAACGCCGCGUGAGUGAAGAAGGUUUUCGGAUCGUAAAACUCUGUUGUUAGAGAAGCGGUAUCUAACCAGAAAGCCACGGCUAACUACGUGCCAGCAGCCGCGGUAAUUC
rnacentral:rRNA from 1 species